GUAAUUCUAGAGCUAAUACAUGCAACACAGUUCCGGACCAGCAAUGGGAAGGAACGCAAUUAUUAGAUCAAAACCAAUCGGCGUCCGCCAGCCUCCGGGCGAACGGCGUCGUCUAACUUGGUGAUACUGAAUAAUUUCUGGCCGAUCGCAGCGGUCUCGUACCGGCGACGGAUCCUUCAAAUGUCUGCCUUAUCACACUGUCGAUGGUAGGUUCUGCGCCUACCAUGGUUGUGACGGGUAACGGGGAAUCAGGGUUCGAUUCCGGAGAGGGAGCCUGAGAAACGGCUACCACAUCCAAGGAGGGCAGCAGGCGCGCAAAUUACCCACUCCCGGCACGGGGAGGUAGUGACGAUAAAUAACGAUACGGGACUCAUCCGAGGCCCCGUAAUUGGAAUGAGCAUACUCUAAAGCCUUGUGCGAGUAUCAAUUGGAGGGUAAGUCUGGUGCCAGCAGCCGCGGUAAUUCCAGCUCCAAUAGCGUAUAUUAAAGUUGUUGCGGUUAAAAAGCCGCAUUGUGUCUCGCCCCGUCGGUACACCGCCUGCCGGUGCUUAACUGGCGCGCGAGCGAGACGUCGUGCCGGUGGUGCCGGUCGUCCGGCCAACGCGGCGAGCUACCCGCCGGCUCUAAAGAGCCGUGGUACGCGAGCCGCAGGUCGGUCGGCCGCCCUUCAAAUCCCGUCGCGGUGCUCUUAAACGAGUGUCGAGGCGGGCCGGCAAUAUUACUUUGAACAAAUUAGUGUGCUUAAAGCAGGCUCGAGUUCGCCUGGAUACAUGUGCAUGGAAUAAUGGAAUAGGACCUAGGUUCUAUUUCGUUCGGUUUUAGGACCGUAGGUAAUGAUCAACGGGAACGGGCGGGGGCAUUCGUAUUGCUACGUUAGAGGUGAAAUUCUUGGAUCGUAGCAAGACGGACGUAAGCGAUAGCAUUUGCCAAGUACGUUUCCGUCGAUCAAGAACGAAAGUUAGAGGUUCGAAGGCGAUCAGAUACCGCCCUAGUUCUAACCAUAAACGAUGCCUGCCAGCGAUCCGCCGAUGUUCCUAAGAUGACACGGCGGGCAGCUUCCGGGAAACCAGAGCUUUCGGGUUCCGGGGGAAGUAUGGUUGCAAAGCUGAAACUUAAAGGAAUUGACGGAAGGGCACCACCAGGAGUGGAGCCUGCGGCUUAAUUUGACUCAACACGGGAAAACUCACCAGGCCCGGACACCGCAAGGAUUGACAGAUUGAUAGCUCUUUCUUGAUUCGGUGGGUGGUGGUGCAUGGCCGUUCUUAGUUCGUGGAGUGAUUUGUCUGGUUAAUUCCGAUAACCGAGCGAGACUCUAGCCUACUAACUAGGCGGACCGGUAUCCACAAUCGUGCUACCGGCGAGCCAAUAUCUUCUUAGAGGGACAGGCGGCUCCUAGCCGCACGAGACUGAGCAAUAACAGGUCUGUGAUGCCCUUAGAUGUCCUGGGCAGCACGCGCGCUACACUGAAGGAAUCAGCGUGUCUUCCCUGUCCGAGAGGACCGGGUAACCCGCUGAACCUCCUUCGUGCUUGGGAUUGGGGCUUGCAAUUGUUCCCCAUGAACGAGGAAUUCCCAGUAAGCGCUAGUCAUAAGCUGGCGUUGAUUACGUCCCUGCCCUUUGUACACACCGCCCGUCGCUACUACCGAUUGAAUGAUUUAGUGAGGUCUUCGGACCGGUGCGCGGAGGCCGCUUCGCGGUCACCGACGACGCUGGAAAGAUGACCGAACUUGAUCAUUUAGAGGAAGUAAAAGUCGUAACA
rnacentral:rRNA from 1 species